rnacentral:lncRNA from 1 species
UUUUGUAGGAGCCAGUAUAGAGUAGUAUUAAAAACAUAGACUCUAGAGCCAGACUGCCUGGUUUUGAAUCUUGGGUUCACUGUUUACUGGCUGUGUGAUCUUGGGCAAGAUAUUUAACUUGGAUGUUUUUCUUUUGAGGAUAGUAACAAUAUCACCUCACGGGGUUUCAUGAGGAUUAGACAAGUUCAUGUGCGUAAAGUGCUUACAACAGUGUUUGGUUAUUAUUGUUAGCUGUUG